UACGUAGGGGGCAAGCGUUGUCCGGAUUUAUUGGGCGUAAAGAGCGUGUAGGCGGCCAAGCAGGUCCGCUGUGAAAACUCGAGGCUCAACCUCGAGAGGUCGGUGGAAACCGUUUGGCUAGAGUCCGGAAGAGGAGAGUGGAAUUCCCGGUGCAGCGGUGAAAUGCGCAGAUAUCGGGAAGAACACCCGUGGCGAAGGCAGCUCGCUGGGACGUGACUGACGCUGAGACGCGAAAGCGUGGGGAGCAAACAGG
rnacentral:rRNA from 1 species